rnacentral:rRNA from 1 species
CUCAGGAUGAACGCUAGCGGCAGGCUUAACACAUGCAAGUCGAGGGGUAUAGGUUUUCGGACCUAGAGACCGGCGCACGGGUGCGUAACGCGUAUGCAAUCUACCUUUCACAGAGGGAUAGCCCAGAGAAAUUUGGAUUAAUACCUCAUAGUAUAUCGAGUUGGCAUCAACAUGAUAUUAAAGAUUUAUCGGUGAAAGAUGAGCAUGCGUCCCAUUAGCUAGUUGGUAUGGUAACGGCAUACCAAGGCUACGAUGGGUAGGGGUCCUGAGAGGGAGAUCCCCCACACUGGUACUGAGACACGGACCAGACUCCUACGGGAGGCAGCAGUGAGGAAUAUUGGACAAUGGGCGCAAGCCUGAUCCAGCCAUGCCGCGUGCAGGAUGACGGUCCUAUGGAUUGUAAACUGCUUUUAUACGAGAAGAAACACUCCUUCGUGAAGGAGCUUGACGGUAUCGUAAGAAUAAGGAUCGGCUAACUCCGUGCCAGCAGCCGCGGUAAUACGGAGGAUCCAAGCGUUAUCCGGAAUCAUUGGGUUUAAAGGGUCCGUAGGCGGUUUAGUAAGUCAGUGGUGAAAGCCCAUCGCUCAACGGUGGAACGGCCAUUGAUACUGCUAGACUUGAAUUAUUAGGAAGUAACUAGAAUAUGUAGUGUAGCGGUGAAAUGCUUAGAGAUUACAUGGAAUACCAAUUGCGAAGGCAGGUUACUACUAAUUGAUUGACGCUGAUGGACGAAAGCGUGGGUAGCGAACAGGAUUAGAUACCCUGGUAGUCCACGCCGUAAACGAUGGAUACUAGCUGUUGGGAGCAAUCUCAGUGGCUAAGCGAAAGUGAUAA